UACAGAGGUCUCAAGCGUUGUUCGGAUUCAUUGGGCGUAAAGGGUGUGUAGGUGGCGCGCUAAGUCGGGUGUGAAAUUUCGGAGCUUAACUCCGAAACUGCAUUCGAUACUGGCGUGCUUGAGGACUGGAGAGGUGACUGGAAUUCAUGGUGUAGCAGUGAAAUGCGUAGAGAUCAUGAGGAAGACCAGGGGCGAAGGCGGGUCUCUGGACAGUUCCUGACACUGAGACACGAAGGCCAGGGGAGCAAACGGG
rnacentral:rRNA from 1 species